CAGCUUGUUGGCGAGGUAACGGCUCACCAAGGCUCCGAUCCGUAGCUGGUCUGAGAGGACGAUCAGCCACACUGGGACUGAGACACGGCCCAGACUCCUACGGGAGGCAGCAGUGGGGAAUCUUGCGCAAUGGGCGAAAGCCUGACGCAGCGACGCCGCGUGAGGGAAGAAGGCCUUCGGGUUGUAAACCUCUUUCAGGAGGGACGAAGCCACUCGGGUUAAUAGCCCAGAGGGUGACGGUACCUCCAGAAGAAGCCCCGGCUAACUACGUGCCAGCAGCCGCGGUAAUACGUAGGGGGCUAGCGUUGUCCGGAUUUAUUGGGCGUAAAGAGCGUGUAGGCGGCCAGGUAGGUCUGCUGUGAAAACUCGAGGCUCAACCUCGAGACGUCGGCAGAAACCAUCUGGCUAGAGUCCGGAAGAGGAGAGUGGAAUUCCUGGUGUAGCGGUGAAAUGCGCAGAUAUCAGGAAGAACACCCGUGGCGAAGGCGGCUCUCUGGGACGGUACUGACGCUGAGA
rnacentral:rRNA from 1 species